GACGAACGCUGGCGGCGUGCUUAACACAUGCAAGUCGAACGAAAAGGCCCUGCUUGCAGGGUACUCGAGUGGCGAACGGGUGAGUAACACGUGGGUGAUCUGCCCUGCACUUCGGGAUAAGCCUGGGAAACUGGGUCUAAUACCGGAUAGGAGCCAUUUUUAGUGUGAUGGUUGGAAAGUUUUUUCGGUGUAGGAUGAGCUCGCGGCCUAUCAGCUUGUUGGUGGGGUAAUGGCCUACCAAGGCGGCGACGGGUAGCCGGCCUGAGAGGGUGGACGGCCACAUUGGGACUGAGAUACGGCCCAGACUCCUACGGGAGGCAUCAGUGGGGAAUAUUGCACAAUGGGCGCAAGCCUGAUGCAGCGACGCCGCGUGGGGGAUGACGGCCUUCGGGUUGUAAACUCCUUUCGCUAGGGACGAAGCUUUUUGUGACGGUACCUAGAUAAGAAGCACCGGCUAACUACGU
rnacentral:rRNA from 1 species